rnacentral:rRNA from 1 species
UACGUAGGGUGCGAGCGUUAAUCGGAAUUACUGGGCGUAAAGCGUGCGCAGGCGGUGAUGUAAGACAGUUGUGAAAUCCCCGGGCUCAACCUGGGAACUGCAUCUGUGACUGCAUCGCUGGAGUGCGGCAGAGGGGGAUGGAAUUCCGCGUGUAGCAGUGAAAUGCGUAGAUAUGCGGAGGAACACCGAUGGCGAAGGCAAUCCCCUGGGCCUGUACUGACGCUCAUGCACGAAAGCGUGGGGAGCAAACAGG